GACGAACGCUGGCGGCGUGCCUAAUACAUGCAAGUUGAGCGCUGAAGGUUGGUUCUUGUCCCAACUGGAUGAGCAGCGAACGGGUGAGUAACGCGUGGGGAAUCUGCCUUUGAGCGGGGGACAACAUUUGGAAACGAAUGCUAAUACCGCAUAAAAACUUUAAACACAAGUUUUAAGUUUGAAAGAUGCAAUUGCAUCACUCAAAGAUGAUCCCGCGUUGUAUUAGCUAGUUGGUGAGGUAAAGGCUCACCAAGGCGAUGAUACAUAGCCGACCUGAGAGGGUGAUCGGCCACAUUGGGACUGAGACACGGCCCAAACUCCCACGGGAGGCAGCAGUAGGGAAUCUUCGGCAAUGGACGAAAGUCUGACCGAGCAACGCCGCGUGAGUGAAGAAGGUUUUCGGAUCGUAAAACUCUGUUGGUAGAGAAGAACGUUGGUGAGAGUGGAAAGCUCAUCAAGUGACGGUAACUACCCAGAAAGGGACGGCUAACUACGUG
rnacentral:rRNA from 1 species